AGUCGAACGGAAAGGCCCUUUCGGGGGUACUCGAGUGGCGAACGGGUGAGUAACACGUGGGUGAUCUGCCCUGCACUUUGGGAUAAGCCUGGGAAACUGGGUCUAAUACCGAAUACACCCUGCUGGUCGCAUGGCCUGGUAGGGGAAAGCUUUUGCGGUGUGGGAUGGGCCCGCG
rnacentral:rRNA from 1 species